GAUGAACGCUGGCGGCGUGCCUAAUACAUGCAAGUCGAGCGAACGGACGAGAAGCUUACUUCUCUGAUGUUAGCGGCGGACGGGUGAGUAACACGUGGAUAACCUACCUAUAAGACUGGGAUAACUUCGGGAAACCGUAGCUAAUACCGGAUAAUAUUUUGAACCGCAUGGUUCAAAAGUGAAAGACGGUCUUGCUGUCACUUAUAGAUGGAUCCGCGCUGCAUUAGCUAGUUGGUAAGGUAACGGCUUACCAAGGCAACGAUGCAUAGCCGACCUGAGAGGGUGAUCGGCCACACUGGAACUGAGACACGGUCCAGACUCCUACGGGAGGCAGCAGUAGGGAAUCUUCCGCAAUGGGCGAAAGCCUGACGGAGCAACGCCGCGUGAGUGAUGAAGGUCUUCGGAUCGUAAAACUCUGUUAUUAGGGAAGAACAUAUGUGUAAGUAACUGUGCACAUCUUGACGGUACCUAAUCAGAAAGCCACGGCUAACUACGUG
rnacentral:rRNA from 1 species